rnacentral:rRNA from 1 species
AUUGAACGCUGGCGGCAGGCCUAACACAUGCCAGUCGAGCGGAUGAAGGGAGCUUGCUCCUGGAUUCAGCGGCGGACGGGUGAGUAGUGCCUAGGAAUCUGCCUGGUAGUGGGGGAUAACGUCCGGAGACGGGCGCUAAUACCGCAUACGUCCUGAGGGAGAAAGUGGGGGAUCUUCGGACCUCACGCUAUCAGAUGAGCCUAGGUCGGAUUAGCUAGUUGGUGGGGUAAAGGCCUACCAAGGCGACGAUCCGUAACUGGUCUGAGAGGAUGAUCAGUCACACUGGAACUGAGACACGGUCCAGACUCCUACGGGAGGCAGCAGUGGGGAAUAUUGGACAAUGGGCGAAAGCCUGAUCCAGCCAUGCCGCGUGUGUGAAGAAGGUCUUCGGAUUGUAAAGCACUUUAAGUUGGGAGGAAGGGCAGUAAGUUAAUACCUUGCUGUCUUGACGUUACCAACAGAAUAAGCACCGGCUAACUUCGUG